UACGUAGGGUGCGAGCGUUGUCCGGAAUUAUUGGGCGUAAAGAGCUCGUAGGCGGCUUGUCACGUCGGGUGUGAAAGCCCGGGGCUUAACCCCGGGUCUGCAUUCGAUACGGGCUAGCUAGAGUGUGGUAGGGGAGAUCGGAAUUCCUGGUGUAGCGGUGAAAUGCGCAGAUAUCAGGAGGAACACCGGUGGCGAAGGCGGAUCUCUGGGCCAUUACUGACGCUGAGGAGCGAAAGCUAGGGGAGCGAACGGG
rnacentral:rRNA from 1 species